UAUAUAUAUAUAUAUAUACCUAUAUGCAUGCAAGCAUACAUAUAGAUCUACAAAGUAGAUCAGUUGCUUCUUGCGAAGAAGGAAUGAACAUAACGGUGAAAAGCGACGAUUUUCCUGAGAAAAUUUUCAACGCACGGAUCUCACUUGAUAGCAGUGCAAGAAUAGUUUUAACGGAUGUUCGAUUAUACAAAACUUUACUGUCUGUGCGUAAAAGAGUCUUCACGGAUUCUGUAGAAAUUUAAAGCGGCGAUGGUGAUUUAUUCAUCGUUGAAAUAAAUUAUGAGAAUUAUGGACUUUAAGCAAACUCAUGGGGCGUGAUUUAUUUGCUCGUAAAUUAAUCCAUUAUAUAGUGAUACAAAUUUUGUAAAGUGAGAUAUAGGAAGUAACGAAACUGGCAGAUUGGUGUCGUACACGCAACGAGGAAACUGGUAAGACGUUUCGUGUAUCUACAUACAAACGAGAUCUCUGAUGGUAAGACUGCCUAAGGUUGACAGCUGUCUAAGAGUUUUCACCGCGACGACGAAGACGACGACGAAGACGACGACGACGACGACGACGACGACGACGACGACGACGACGACGACGACGAAGACUACGACGACGACGGCGACGGUGCUAUCUCCAUAGCUGGAUCAAUUUCCUGGAUCCUUUUCGUGGAAGAAGGACAAGAUCCUCGAGGUUCUACACCACGUUAUCGGAAAUUCUUCUCUUUCCUCUAUCGUCUCACCAACCUAUAUAGAUUCAAGAGUACACACGUACACACAUUUUGAUUUGCUCGGGAGAUGAAAGGGAGCGAGAUAGAUCGAAGACACAAAGACGUUUUCCAAGAGCUAGAAAGAAUUUAGAAAGAGACAAAAAAAAGAUGAGGAUAAAAAGUUGAAGAAGAUGAAAUAAAAAUAAUUUCGCAGUAUUACAAGCGAGUCCAACUCAACGUUGGAUCAUAGACAAAAAGGAAAAGGAUCCUAAUUGAAUGUUGAUCAACUUUACUCACGCUCUUGGAAAUAUUCAAUAAUUUCGCGUUGACGUAUCCCAGGAAAGCAUAUUAACACGUCGACUACGUUUGGAACGUAAUCUACGAGUUAUGCAUCUCGCAUCUAAUUUAUUUUCCAUUCCGCUCUAGUUCCUCUUAGUAGAACAUGUCAUCAUCAGUGCUAGAUCCUAUCUUAAGAAUCGUAUUCCGGUUUUAGGUGAAACAUACGUUGAGGAAUAGCUAGAGCUCCCCUUGGAUGCCUAAUUCGAGAACGAACGUUGCCAUUAGUGGUCGAGUGCAUUCGUGUUUGUGAAAAUUUAAGCCAAAAAGAAAAACUAAGAAACUGAGAAAAAUAGAGAGCGAAAGAGAAAGAGGUACGUGGGAAAAAAAAUGGAAAAAGAAUGGAAUUCGUUGAGAAGUGGUAAGAGGAGAAUGAGAGAGAGAGAGAGAGAGAGAGAGAGAGAGAGAGAGAGAGAGAGAGAGAGAAGGGGUCGUGGACUGAAAGAACGAAGGAAAACAAACGUAAUAAGAUAGGAGAAGGGAGUGCAAGUGCGAAUGCACGGAAAACAGAAACUGUGAUGAAGUAAGAGCCUGGUCUUGCAACGAGGGUCACUUAUCGUCGCGACCAUCUGCGAGUAUCGUCCACAGUCAGCGUACUGUCGGUCUGAAGUAUGUGCCGACUCCAGUGCCAUCCGAUAAGGCUUUUCGUAUCAGCGUGCUAGGAGAAAAAAGUGUCCUCUCGUUGCGGUCACGCUUACUUCCUGCCCUCUUUUAUUUUCUUGUCUCCUAUCCUCCGUUUUACUAUUUCUCCUUUAUUUUCCUCAUUUCCUUUUUUGAAAAACUUGGAAUACAUAGCUAGAUAGUUUUAAGUAGAUACGCUCCUAUACGCGGACACUUUUGUUCUUUGAUCGCCUGAAUGAAUAGGCCGAUCGUAGAUUGUGAACAAAAAUUUUCUUUCAUUUUCGCUCUCGCCUCCCCCUUCUCCAUCUUUCUCUCUUUUCUUUUUUCUUUUCUUUUCUUUUCUUUUCUUUUCUUUUUUUAUUAUUUGGAGGGAGAAGUAGGUUUUUUUCUAUACACUCUCUCAGAAAGAGAACUCUUUUCUUCUUUCGGUAGUACCUCUACCACACGACCGACCCAUCCUUCCCUGUCCCCUUCCUCCCUACCUUUUCUUUUUCACCUGAAACUCUUAGACUCAACACGCUUUCGCUUUUAUCCAGGUCCACGGAGUGUAACGUUCUAUUGUAGAGAAAGGUAGUAAGCAUAGUCUCCGCGUCUACUUUGAACCAUUCUUGAAUCGAAAGGCGAAAUCGAUAUUACCUUCUUCUUCUUUUUCUUCUUCUUCUACUUCUUCUUCUUCUUCUUCUUCUUCUUCUUCUUCUUCUUCUUCUUCUUCUUCUUCUUCUUCUUCUUCUUCUUCUUCUUCUUCAACAUCACUGGCGAGUGGCUCCUACUGUCUUCUCGCCACUGUCUUCAUUAAGUGUUCCGGCUGCUUCGGCUAAAUGAGUUAGUCAGGUUCUGCUCUUUGGUCCCGAACCUUGAUUGCUUCCAAGGCGUUCUCCUUUUUCUUCACUGAAACUACUUCACGUUCUCAGGCCAAGAUAUCCUUUGUCGUGGCUCAACGCAUCAGUCAAAGUAACUAUUCCGUUCCUCUCGUAAGGACCUUUCACCUUCUCAUCUCUCUCUCUCUCCCUCUCUCCCUCUCUUUGUCUGUCUUUUUCCCCCUGUCUCUCUUACUCACUCUCUACAUCUCUCUCCUGUCCUCUAUGGAACAAGAACACUCCUAUCAAUAGAGUUUUGGGAAUCGUUCGAUUGGAUCUUACAGUCUAAUAGCGAUUCCAUCUUCUCGACGUACUUUUUCGAAAGCUAGAGAAAUUAAUUAAAACGCCGCAAAGCGGAUCACUGCACUUGCCUUUUAAUUGAUCUCUCACUCUUUCUCUCUCUCAGCGCGAGUAUUACUUUCAUCCCUCCUCUUCCUCUUCCUCCUUUUCCUCUUUCUCGUCCUUCUCAACUCCUACUCUUUCUCCGUUAAUCUCUUGUUUUUCUUUCGCAUCGACUCAAAUUUUCCACUAUUUGUUCGUUCAAGAGUUCCAAAUCGUGACUUUUCAAAUCCUUCCGCGAACUCUUUCAUCGAAACUAAUUCUAAAUCGAUUUCACGUUAACCUGUUAACUCUAUAAAUAUAUUUUUUGAAGGUGUAUGUAUGUAUGUAUAUAUAUAUAUAUAUAUAUAUAUAUAUAUAUAUAUUUUACGUAACAAAAAUGAAGAGAUGACGAAUACAGUCGUCAAACACAUAGUAUACGCAGUUGCUAUAAAAUUGAAUUAAAUUCCAACGCAGUGGUAGUUGGUUUUCCCUUCUUUUUUG